ACGCUCGACACCUACGGGGGCAGCAGUGGGGAAUAUUGCACAAUGGGGGAAACCCGUGAUGCAGCGACGCCGCGUGAAGGAAGAAGUAUCUCGGUAUGUAAACUUCUAUCAGCAGGGAAGAAAGUGACGGUACCUGACUAAGAAGCCCCGGCUAACUACGUGCCAACAGCCGCGGUAAUCUGAGCGGGCUGGCAAGGC
rnacentral:rRNA from 1 species